AGCAGAUCAGAAAGUCUUGCAAUGCGCCUAUGCCACUGGCAGCCAGAUUUCAUAGGCAGGGAAGAGGGUGAAGGAGACGUCCUUUUGCAGAGCACAGGUAGGAGUUUGCUGCAGAAAUAUGGAUAGCUGAAUUUAAGAUUGGAAAAACGGGGAACAAAAAUCAAAACUGAGAAGAUUCGUCCAUCCCUACUGCUCCCAGCUCUCAACCACCAGUGGAUGGAUGAUCUAACUUCUUGAUCAACAUACAUGCUUACUAAGAAUCCAAGCCAACAACAAGGCAUCCAUCUGUUCAUGUUGACUGGGGCUAAUGGAAGUCGUAGUUCUAAACUUCUGGAGGGUGCCACAUUGGAAGCUGCCUUAUACUAAGACUGUUGGUCUAUCUAGCUCAAUAUUGUCUACACUGACUGGCAGCAGCUCUCCAGGGUUUCAGACAGGAAGUUUUUCCAGCACCACCUGGAGAUGCAGAGAAUGGAGCCUGAGACAUUCUGCAUGCAAAACAGAUGCUCUACCGCUCUGCACUUCCAAUGCAGGGUUGAGUUCUCUCCAUGCAAAAAAAAUUAAAAUAUUUGGGGCAGCUCCAAAAUUCUGCACCACGCAAACCACAACUUGCAUCAUGCAUACACGAUAUAUAUUAAGCAGAUAUUUUUCUCUCCUUUUGGAACACAUUAU